rnacentral:rRNA from 1 species
GCAUGGUUGUCGUCAGCUCGUGUCGUGAGAUGUUGGGUUAAGUCCCGCAACGAGCGCAACCCUUAUUGUUUGUUGCUACCAUUUAGUUGAGCACUCAAGCGAGACUGCCUGCGAUGAACAGGAAGAAGGUGGGGAUGAAGUCCAAUCAUCCUGCCCCUUAUACACUGGGCUACACACGUGCUACAAUGGGCAGUACAAAGAGUUGCCAACCCGCCAGGGUGAGCUAAUCUCUUAAAGCUGUUCUUAAUUCGGAUUGUACUCUGCCACUCGAGUACAUGAAGUUGGAAUCGCUAGUAAUCGCAAAUCAACA